UACGUAGGUGGCAAGCGUUGUCCGGAUUUACUGGGUGUAAAGGGCGUGUAGGCGGAGCUGCAAGUCAGAUGUGAAAUCCCGGGGCUCAACCCCGGAACUGCAUUUGAAACUGUAGCCCUUGAGUAUCGGAGAGGCAGGCGGAAUUCCUAGUGUAGCGGUGAAAUGCGUAGAUAUUCGGAGGAACACCGGUGGCGAAGGCGGCCAACUGGGCUUUAACUGACGCUGAGGCUCGAAAGUGUGGGGAGCAAACAGG
rnacentral:rRNA from 1 species